AUUGAACGCUGGCGGCAGGCCUAACACAUGCAAGUCGAGCGGAUGAAGGGAGCUUGCUCCUGGAUUCAGCGGCGGACGGGUGAGUAAUGCCUAGGAAUCUGCCUGGUAGUGGGGGAUAACGUCCGGAAACGGGCGCUAAUACCGCAUACGUCCUGAGGGAGAAAGUGGGGGAUCUUCGGACCUCACGCUAUCAGAUGAGCCUAGGUCGGAUUAGCUAGUUGGUGGGGUAAAGGCCUACCAAGGCGACGAUCCGUAACUGGUCUGAGAGGAUGAUCAGUCACACUGGAACUGAGACACGGUCCAGACUCCUACGGAAGGCAGCAAUGGGGAAUAUUGGACAAUGGGCGAAAGCCUGAUCCAGCCAUGCCGCGUGUGUGAAGAAGGUCUUCGGAUUGUAAAGCACUUUAAGUUGGGAGGAAGGGCAGUAAGUUAAUACCUUGCUGUUUUGACGUUACCAACAGAAUAAGCACCGGCUAACUUCGUG
rnacentral:rRNA from 1 species